ensembl:lncRNA
UUUUUCCGACAUCUUCAGGGCAGAGUUUGCUCGUUCUUCCUGCCCGAUUAGUUUCCCCCAUAACGUGACAAACUGCGUGAGGGAACGACGUGAGGGAACGUUUUUUUUUUUUUGUGGACGUUCCACAACGUUAAACGUAACUAUAAACUGAUUUUCGUUUAAAAAAAAAACAAAAAAAUACGACGUAUCCUUCUUUUAAUCGACAAAAUGGUUGUUUUUGGCAAAUCGCUGCGGUGUAAGAGGAAUAAAACGCUCGCACACGCAUCGUAGGACUAAUGAGCAGCACGUGUCUUAUCGCUUAGGAAAGAAGAAAAAAAAAACGCACACAAUUUGACGCAACUGGGAAAAGAAACUGUACAGAAAUGUGUAGAAAACGUUCGAUGUUCUAGGAAACCUGUAGGUCUUGUGGUUUAGCUGAGCCUUGCUAAUAGACUAGCUUCUGAUCAAUAUCUCACGAGUCAAAUUAUUAAUCAUACUGAAGUAUUAAUAACACUCUGUUAUGGUGGAGUAGAGGACUGUAUUUCAUAGCACUGUCAAUUUAAUGUGUGUGUGUGUGUGAGAACGGCAUGAAACACCUUUUUUUUCUGAGUGUGUGUAUGAGAGAGAGAGAGAGUGUAUGAAUUCUGCUGGGGUUUUUUUUUUUUUUCUUUUUUCUUCCCAAACCCCAAAAUGCAGCUGUGACCUGAAUCUGAUUUCUAUACACUAACAAAAUAAACAGUUAAAAAAAAAAAAGAAAAGAAAAACGUACACUGCUCGCAUUACUUGAAAACAGGAAAUGCGUCUGCUGUAAUCGGAAAAAAGACAUUUCCUCACACACACACACACACACACACGGGUCAUGUCAUACUGCGUCGACGUUUAAAGAGCUGAUUAACAACCCAACGCUUUUCGGGACCCGUUUUUCCAAACAGGGUGAGCAAGAAGGAGACGUCAUCUACAACAACAACAACAACAACAACAACAACAACUAGCUCGCUAAGAUGUCUAGGAAAUGUCCAUGCACUGUAAUAAAAUGACCAAAUGUGCACACGUAAUAUAAGGAUAAUAUAAAGUAAGUAUGACAUCAUUGGUCCUGGAACAAUGUCUGGGUUUCCCUUUGAACAGUGAGCAACCAUGAGCUACACUGAAAGCUUCAUUUGGAGCUUGAUUGAUUAAUAAAAUGUCUGUAGCGGAGUUUAGACUAGCGGAGCCACACGGUUCAGGCUAAAAGCUGGCAGGAAGAAAGCAAACUACAGCUUCCUCGAAGCAUCGCAGAUCAUUUUCACUCAAAGUAUUUUUGUUGUUCUCGUGGAAGGGCGCGUUCUCUCGGUUGAAUAUAUUUAAGUAUUUUUUUACACUAUUAUUUUAGGUUUGGCAACGUGCUAGCUGGUCACUGAAAAAGGGGGCGGUCUCUAUUAAAGGCGAUUAUUUCGGAACGCCGCUGAAAUCGGAUGUAGGAAGGGAUUCGGCGGGAAUAUCAGGAUGCCGUCAAUAACGCAUGCUUUUUGGGAUUUUAGGCUGAAGAUGGUGUCUAAGUAUUGAAAGUAACUAUGGAAGUAUAGUGUGGAAGUGCUGCUCCAUGUCUCCUGCAGGAGGAGGAGGAUGUCUGAGGUUUUGCUCUCGAGUCCAAAGGCAGAUGAUGUCAGUGCUUGAAUGUAAACAUGAUGUGAAGAAGGUUUUGUUGUCUGUGGGGAU